UGGUGUCUACGCGUGCUAAAAAAUAUAACUGGACAAAAAUAUAUAUAUAAAAUCAGGCACACAUCAUGAAUAUUAAUCACAUCAAACAUAUAACAUUAACGAUACAAGUCAAAUCAUAUAGUCUUUAAAUAUUUUUGAUAACAUUUAAAACAUAUAAUGAUAUUUUAAUACAUUAAAAAAUAUUUUGAACAAAACUAUGUAAAUUUAAUCUCUUAGAAUUUUAAUAAUCGAUAAUUUUUUUAAUAAGUAAUAAAAAUAUUCUUAAAGUUAUAGAGCACAAUCGCAGACUUCGGGCAUUUGAACGUUUUGGUAGUAGAAUAGUAGUAGACGAUCCAUACCAAAUGCGGUAUUAGUAGUAGAAUAUUAUGGCGCAACGCGUACAGAAGUUGUAGUUUUGCUAUUUAGUAUUGGUUACUUGUAGGUUGAUACAAUGGUUGUUUGGCAACAGCAAUUGCUAGUGGAGACGCCACGUAAAGUCAUUUCGUUCUGAUAAAUCGAUUUGUUAUUCGUUCUACAUCACUGUUUUGUUUAUAUCUUGAAUUAAAAUGGGACGUCGUAAGUCAAAAAGGAAGCCUCCACCAAAGAAAAAAAAUAUAGAACCUUUGGAUCAGCAGUUUAAUUGCCCAUUUUGUAAUCAUGAAAAAUCCUGCGAAGUAAAAAUCUACUUACGGUAUAUGCAGAGAUCAUCUAAAUCUAACAUUAUAUUUAAGAGCCAACUUCUCCCAAUUGGUGACACCAGCAUGGUACCCAGAAACGUUAAAAUUUUGUGUUUGGAAUGAUUUAGUAUGUCUACUUAUUGUUCAACAUAAAAAUUGACAAUUUCUGCUUAAAUUUUCAAUUUGCUAAACCGUACUGGAUAAAAGUAGAAAUACUGCUAAAGUUACUUGCAGAGUUUGCCUUGAGGAUUUCCAGACGAGUAUCAAUUUUCUGUCAGAGCCUAUUGAUGUGUAUAAUGAUUGGGUAGAUGCUUGUGAAACAGCGAACUAAUUGCCAACUUAUAAUUGCGUAAUCUUAUAAUAAUAUUAUUAUGAGCUAUAUAAUAAGUUUUAGGAAUUAUAUAUAAUUAAAAAUUAAAAAUAAAAUUUUUAAUUUUCUUUUAUCUCUCAUAAAGUUUAUUCAAAACUUAAUUUAAUUAAUGCUUGACUAAACAGAAAGUAUAUAUAAGUCACGAUAUUAAUAUGCUUAUGAAUGCACCAGACAAGCUUUAAAGUUCGUAUAGUUAAAAAAAAAAAACUUUACAAUUCGUUUUCAUUUUUUAUUAUCUUUGAACGAGAAUUAUCCUGGGGUCUGAGAACAGAGGAAAUUUAUGAGCGCCUAAUUCGAGGAACAUGAUGGGUACGGAAAUAAUACGAAGCUUAAUACUAUCUUCAAGUUUUUCAGAAAAUUAUUAAAGAAAAUGGAAAACGAGUAAAAUUUUAAUUAUAAAAUUAUUUUGUACAAAUAUAUUGAAAAAACAAAUAAGCGAACUAGUAAUAUGGAGUUUAG